GAGCAUCCUUCAUAUUUUUACAAUUAAAAGCCAACUCCAUAGCCAAUUUGCUUUGACAAUGAACUGUGUAUCUUCAAGACUUCCAGCUUCAGUACAGAUUAAGUUGAGCAUUGGAUGAACUUGCCAAGGCUUCUCAGACCAUUGCACUUCUUCCACUAUAUUCAGCAUUUCUUGGAAAUAUUCAUGCAAUACUAUUGGUAACAUGGCUCUUUGACAUUAGAAAAGUAGCAAAAUUUGUGGAACUUUGAUAGCCCCAUUGACAAUAAGGAAUGAUGGGUUCCAUUCUUCUUAUUAAUCUCCCUUUUUUCCCCUUGAUUAAGCACUGGUUAUUUGAAAGCAAAACACAUAGUUGGAUUAGAUUGUAAAAUUAGCACCUAAAAACAUAAUUUUCAUUUUAGCACAGGGUGAUUUAGAUGAAACAACUCUAAUUUUUAAAACAAAUGCUGAACACACAUUAACUGAAAGGAACAAACCUGAAGAGGCAAGGAAGCUCAACCAAGACCACUGUGAUCUAUUUGUCUCAACAUUAAACAAUUAAAGAAGAUUAGAUAGAAACUUAGAGAACACUUCCAAAGAUAUAAGCUUUCUUCAAUUCAUCAAACGAUUACAUAAAUUUCUUAAAUUGCAAUCAAACAUAACAAACCUUAUACUUGACUAAAAGUAAACCAGCUUCCUCAUCAUUUAGGCUUCUCUACCAAGCAAUGUUUCAAAUGUUACAAGGCUCAGCAUGGAACCCAUGGAUAGGUUUUAGGAGGCCUCUCUGAUACAGAAACAAUAUGAAGUGCAUUAACAGAUCAACAACUCCUAUUGGUAGGAAAUUCAAACAUCCUUAGUUUAAGAAAAUUACAUUUUAAUAGAUCAAAUUCAGUAUAGAAUAUCUUUACCUUGUUCUUAGCUUGGCGCCUUUGACUUGUCAGCCAUGUUACAAUACGAUUCAAUUGCUUUAACUCACCUUCUGGGGUUCGAUACCUCAAAAACUUUUAACGCCAAUGACAAGAUAACAAAUAAUUUAACAAGUAAAUGAAAUUGAAAUGCAUACCUUAAAACUCCUUUUUGGUACAAAAGUAAAAACACAUUUUACAGAAAAGAAAGCAAGGAAAAAUCCAAAUAUAGAAGUACAACAAUGUUGAAAUCCCAAGAAAAGAUAAAAGAACAUGAAAAUUAACUAACACAAGCAACUAAGUAGACAAAUAAUCAGUCUAACACAGAAAUAACUUAAUCCCCCAAUGCUAUCAUAGAGUGAAAUUGUUGGAAGGGUCUGCUUCUGCU
rnacentral:lncRNA from 1 species